rnacentral:rRNA from 1 species
UGGCGGACGGGUGAGUAACGCGUGGGUAACCUGCCUUACACAGGGGGAUAACACCUGGAAACAGGUGCUAAUAUCGCAUAAGCGCACAGGGCCGCAUGGCCCGGUGUGAAAAACUCCGGUGGUGUAAGAUGGACCCGCGUCUGAUUAGCUUGUUGGCGGGGUAGAGGCCCACCAAGGCGACGAUCAGUAGCCGGCCUGAGAGGGUGGACGGCCACAUUGGGACUGAGACACGGCCCAAACUCCUACGGGAGGCAGCAG